UUUUAUGUAUUAUAGCUACUUUACUUUUUAUCCUUCUGUUCUGAAGUGACUCUAAGUUUAAUGAUUCUACUAAUGGGGUUACUCUAAUCUAAUUGGACUCGUGCUCUUCCUGUAGGUAUUUUGAGUUUGAGUUCUCAAAAAACAAAAUCUAUCAAUUUGCUUUUAGAAAAUGUGUAUAGCUUAUUUUGACCAUGUGUACUUGUAAAAAUAAAAUAAUAAUAAUAAACAUAACGGAACAGGAAAUGAAAACACGAUAUGACGUAAUUCCAAUUGUAUGGAGUAAUACAUCUAGAUCUAGUUCGUAAUGUUCGAUUCAUGAAACAAAUUUGUAAUAGCGCACUUACAAACAAUAUAAAAGAAUAUAAAUUAUCAGCCUUUUAGGAGUUUUACCGUAAAUACGACUACGCGCUAAAAUCUAAAAUUAGUAAACUAAGAAGAUGUCGAUUUGAUUUUAUUCUCUACACUUUUACGUCAAAGCUUUUGCUCACUACUCUCUAAACUCAAGUUGCUAUGGGGCUAAAACGUCCAAGUUCGUAACCAAACAUUCAGUCGUUCCAUAGCCUUCGGAGCAGUGAAGAUCAUCUCCUGCUAUUUCUUCAAAGAGAAAUCUCUCCACCACAUCUUCAUCAUGUCUACAUGUAACACCGGCUGCCGGGAUCCACCCGCUUGCCCUGAGAAGAAAUGCUGCCCACCGCCUCCAGCUUGCUGCCCACCACCUCCAGCUUGCUGCCCACCACCUCCAGCGUGCUGCCCACCGCCUGAGUGCCCACCCAAAGAGCCUGCCUGCCCUCCACCACCACCCAAGUGUUCUACUUGUGGACAGGUCAAGAAAACGUGCGGAUGCAGCUAGACGGACCCAGUAUACUACAUGAUCGACGCUGACUUCUGAAGGCUAUUAAGGAACGAAUAUUGAACGGAAGCAACAUGUGCAGACACCAUGACAGCCCAGAAUUGUACACUGACUCAAUGGACACCCUAAUCUACAUCUGCUCAGAUGCACUGGCGCAAUUGACAUAUUUAGUUUGCUUCCAGUUCAGAUGUACAGACUCCAAGACGACCUCAAGUCUAUUCCCAUUCCUCCUUUAUCUCCCUGCCCCCCAACGCCAAACUUUUCCGAUAUCUGAAAUGACUAAUGACAGCAACCAAGAAACCUUUACAGAUGUCACUAGAUGCACCUGAUGACAGUCGAGAAACCUUUACAGAUGUCACUAGAUGCACCUGAUGACAAAGAGACAGUUCGAACAUCGAUAUAAUAAACAUGAUGAAACUCUUUAA